GACGAACGCUGGCGGCGUGCUUAACACAUGCAAGUCGAACGAUGAAGCUGGAGCUUGCUCCGGUGGAUUAGUGGCGAACGGGUGAGUAACACGUGAGCAAUCUGCCCUUGACUCUGGGAUAACUGCGGGAAACUGUAGCUAAUACCGGAUACGACACCCUGGGGCAUCCCAGGGUGUGGAAAGAAUUUCGGUCAAGGAUGAGCUCGCGGCCUAUCAGCUAGUUGGUGAGGUAAUGGCUCACCAAGGCGACGACGGGAAGCCGGCCUGAGAGGGUGACCGGCCACACUGGAACUGAGACACGGUCCAGACUCCUACGGGAGGCAGCAGUGGGGAAUAUUGCACAAUGGGCGAAAGCCUGAUGCAGCAACGCCGCGUGAGGGAUGAAGGCCUUCGGGUUGUAAACCUCUUUUAGCAGGGAAGAAGCGAAAGUGACGGUACCUGCAGAAAAAGCACCGGCUAACUACGUGCCAGCCGCCGCCGUAA
rnacentral:rRNA from 1 species